AAAUAAUCUGAUACAUUGUGAUGUUGUACAUUUCCUUUCCUUUAGGUCGCAUCUAAGAAUGACAAUAAUGGAACAUAUGACACCAUCAACAUCGUUUCUUCUACUCCAAGCACAAAUGAGCAGAAAGAUGAUGUGGUUUAUUCUGAGGUGACCGUUGGCAGUAAAAAACAACUGAAGAACAACAUUGUUCAGUCUGCUGGUGAUGUGACUUAUGCCGUCAUCAAAGGAGGAAAAACUGAACCUGAAGACGCCUGCAGAGAGCUUUAAUCCUGCCUGAACAAAACCACUCGCAAAUAAAACACAUCAUUUUACAAAUAAACCCACCCCACCCCACUCCACAACAACAUAAACACAAAAUAUGUUUCAGUCUGUCAGUGACUUAUAUUUCCUUUGACAAACAAACUCAAGUGCUGAUGUGAUUUAUGUGAUACAUAUUGGUCGGCUAUAAAAUGUUUGUCUGUUUGUUUACUAUUUGAUGUUAUUGUUCAUAUGUUAUUGAAUCCUAACAUGUCUGAGGAAUUUUCAUAGGUCUUAUUAAUACUGUGCAUGAUCAAAUUGGGGAAGUGUAAUGGAAAAUGAUUUCUUAGUUUGACUUUU